rnacentral:rRNA from 1 species
GACGAACGCUGGCGGCGUGCCUAAUACAUGCAAGUUGAGCGCUGAAGGUUGGUACUUGUACCAACUGGAUGAGCAGCGAACGGGUGAGUAACGCGUGGGGAAUCUGCCUUUGAGCGGGGGACAACAUUUGGAAACGAAUGCUAAUACCGCAUAAAAACUUUAAACACAAGUUUUAAGUUUGAAAGAUGCAAUUGCAUCACUCAAAGAUGAUCCCGCGUUGUAUUAGCUAGUUGGUGAGGUAAAGGCUCACCAAGGCGAUGAUACAUAGCCGACCUGAGAGGGUGCUCGGCCACAUUGGGACUGAGACACGGCCCAAACUCCUACGGGAGGCAGCAGUAGGGAAUCUUCGGCAAUGGACGAAAGUCUGACUGAGCAACGCCGCGUGAGUGAAGAAGGUUUUCGGAUCGUAAAACUCUGUUGGUAGAGAAGAACGUUGGUGAGAGUGGAAAGCUCAUCAAGUGACGGUAACUACCCAGAAAGGGACGGCUAACUACGUG